ensembl:lncRNA
GCACAGUCUCAGGGGACCCCAGGGGCCCCUGAUAGAGACAAAGCAGGCUUUAUUGCUGGCACCCCUCCCCCAACCCCCCACCUCCGCAGGAUGGAAUAUCUCUUCUUCCUCAAAUUGCAAGCAGCCUAGAUCAUUCCCCUCACUUCUCAGGGAAGAAAGCCAAGACCCCAAGCGGAAAGACCACCUGCCUGAGUCCACAUGGGCACCAAUCCCUGCUCUGCUGGAGGUCCUUAGACCGUUGACUCUCCUGAACCUCAGUUUCCUGCUCUGUAAAAUGGGCAGGAAAUGUCUCCUGGGGAUGGUGAGCAUAAAGAAGACAUAACGCCCCUGCACGUUAACAGCUACCAUGUCCUAAGCUGGAAGGAUGCUAGGAUGCUGAGAACAAAGGACACAGGUCUUGCCCUCAAGUGGCCCGCAGCCCAGUGAGAGGGAGCCCAAGUGGCUGGUGUCAAGGGCUGCUCUGAGGUGCCCGGUGGAUACUGACUGGUAGAUGGAC